rnacentral:lncRNA from 1 species
GUAUAUAUAUAUUUUUUGUUUGGUUCCAUGGAUUAGUCGUAAUAUUGUUUUAAGGUUUCCAGACGGUUUGGCUCUUUUGUUUAAAUUAGUCACUUGGUUUUCUUUCUUUUUUAGUUUUAAAUCAUGUGCAUGGUUGUGCUAGUUAUGUCUUAAAACAAAUAGUCUUGCUAGUCUGUUGGGUUUAACAGUUAAAUGUUAGUUUUCGUCUGGUUGUUUGUUUGUAGAUGAUUUAUGUUUUGAACUAGUAUCCAUGUUUAUCAUCAUGUGUAUAGAGGGAAUAGAUUGUAUUAGGCGGUUGUGCAUUUAGUCGUUUUGAUCGUAAAUGAUAUCUUGGAAUCGUGUUCUUCAAAUAGCAUGCUUGCAAAUCUGUUUAUGUCUAAUUUUUCUUUGAAAAUAAAAUAAAAUUCUUUUACUUGUCCCCCGAUUUGUUGGUUGCGCGAUUAUUUUAGUUUCAGAAUGUAGCUAAGAAUGUUUGUUUAUCUUCCUCUAUUUUUUGAAGCAUGACUCGAUUUACUUUGAUGUUAUUUAAUGGUCGAAAAAUCUGGAAAUUUCAGUCAUGCUUCUAGUCACCUUGCACCCUCGUAUCCAUUUUACGAUAGAUUUUUUCCUCAUAAUCUAUGUUUUCUUUGGUAUCAUGCGAAUAUAUAUUUCUUUUCGGCAUAAGUUAAAGUGUGUUAUUAGCAUCUCUCUAUGUGCCCCCUUUAUUUGGUCAUUAUGCAUUUCCAUCUUUUGUUUUGGAAUAUUGUUUGGUGCCUUAAUCUCUUGAAUUUCAUGGAUUAGCUCGACCAAGGUAGUUUAUUUAAUUCCUAGUGGAUUGAAGAUAUUUUAGCAUAAUUUGGCAAGUCUUGAUGUUUAAAAUCAGUAACACUGCGUGAUGAUUUCUUGUGGCAUAGCUAUGUUUAUCUCUAAUUUUUCUUGCCAAAUAACUUGGUCACAUGGGUUUUUAUUUCG